AUUCUCUUAGUAUAAUUAAUAUAACUGACUUCCAAUCAGUAGAUUCUGAAACAACGGAAGAGAAUA
rnacentral:tRNA from 1 species